rnacentral:tRNA from 1 species
UCUCUGGUGGUCCAGUGGCUAAGACUCUGUGCUCCCAAUGCAGGGGGCCUGGGUUCAAUCCCUGGCUGGGGAA